rnacentral:lncRNA from 1 species
ACACACACACACACACACACACACCCACACACGCACACACAAAAGGCAGAAUGAAAGAUUAUCUUUUACUGCAACAAUUGUCACAAAGACAAUAAACUAAUAGUAACCGACCGUCCCUAGAGCAAAUGGCAAAGGGCUUGGCGGUUGGUACCCGAGACCCAAGUUCGAAUCCUAGUUGAUUCACAUUUCUAGCUAAGUUUAUUUCUAAAUGAAAUAAACAAAGCGGGUAGCGUGCUACCUAUCUCUCAAAAAAAGACAAUAAACUAAUAGUAAGAACAUAAAUAGAUGGGUAGGAAGUGGGGACUUAUUUAAAAUGAGUU